AUUGAACGCUGGCGGCAGGCCUAACACAUGCCAGUCGAGCGAGCGGCGGACGGGUGAGUAAUGUAUGGGGACUGCCCGAUAAAGGGGGAUAACUACUGGAAACGGUAGCUAAUACCGAAUACUAUCGGAUAACCCAUAUGGGAUUAGCUAGUAGGUGAGGUAAUGGCUCACCUCGGCGCAGCUCCCUAGUUGGUCUGAGAGGAUGAUCAGCCACACUGGGACUGAGACACGGCCCAGACUCCUACGGAGGCAGCAGUGGGGAAUAUUGCACAAUGGGCGAAAGCCUGAUGCAGCCAUGCCGCGUGUAUGAAGAAGGCCCUAGGGUUGUAAAGUACUUUCAGUCGGGAGGCGUUACCGACAGAAGAAGCACCGGCUAACUCCGUGCCAGCAGCCGCGGUAAUUC
rnacentral:rRNA from 1 species